UAUUAAGUCCGGUUUAUUUCGUCUGAAAACAGCAAACAGUUCGAUGAUAAAGGCUAUGGUGGUUGCUCUUUCUUCUCCAGGCGCUGCCUUUAGUCAGUCUUUCACUCUCCGGCCGUAUCUUCGUCGUCAGGCGCUAGUCUUCGUGUUCGAUCUCUUUCAAUUCAUCUUACUUCUCGCUCUGUACUUGUUGUUGCUCGUGGGAAGAACGGAAGGGAUUCACUUCUCGCUGUUUGAUCUAACUGGAUUGAAUAAUGAUGAAUCGUCAAUAGAAGAUGAGGAGAUAAGCGAAGAAGACGUAGAUUCAGUAGAAGCAGAGUAAGCUCAAGUUUUGGGUGGUGAUGACGAUGUUCAUGGCAUCGACUUGUUCGGUUCAGCUAUCAGUGUGUGUGUGUGUGUGUGUGUGUGUGUGUAUAGGAUGCUGGUGGUUAGCAGCAUUGUUCAAGUUGACUCAGCUUGAUUUCGGUUCGGUUUCAUUUCCUUCCUUUUUCAAAUUUAUAUAAAUUUCCUAUUUUUAACAUAGAAUGAAUGGACGAUUACUAAAAAAAAAUUAGUUUAAAACUUGCUUGGUGUGGUUGGACAGUUUGCUAGCUUUGGAAUUGUAUCAAUCGGCUAUGAAAUAGAAAAUUCUUACGUUCUUUCCUUUUUACUGUUUUUUAGAAACAAAAAAGAAGUUGUGUGUGUUUCCACUGUCUUCUUUGUGCUUUUGAGAGUUAGUUGUGCUUUUUCUUGGAUAUCAUUAUUUCUACUAUAGUCGUCUUUGUAAAUUUCUGUGAGGAAAUUUCAAGGAAGUAGGUAUACGGAGAAAAGCAGCAGCCAAUUCAAUUUUUUUUAUUGCUAGUGGUUUCAUCAUUCCUAGUCAUCAUUCUGUGUUCAAUGUAUACAAAGUUUCUUUGUAGUUUCUUCUUCCACAUUGUGAUCCCUUUAAAGGUUUCUAAUACUGAUCGUCUUUCCAUAACACUACUCCGUCGUCUUCUUCGUCUCCAACAAGAACAAAAAGGUGAGAAAAUCACACAACUCGUUCUCAUUCGCUUGUAUAUCGUGAAAUGAGAACUUUCGCAGUAAAUUUGAGGAGGAGAAUGAUCCGUUUGAGGCACUGUUUAAUCUACUGGAAGAAGAUUUGAAUAAAUGAUUAUAUCUUCAAUAGAAGAUGAGGAAACAAGCGACGAAGACUUAGAUGCACUAGCGUUGAAGAUUGCCAUGAUGAUGAUGACAGCGUAUAAGAUGAAAGACCAGCUAAGCUGAAGAAUUGGCAGCUUAGAAGAUUGGCUUAUGCAUUGAAAGCUGGACGGCGGAAAGCUAGUAUUCUGAAAAACACAACAGGAAACAAGAGAGGAGGCGGUGGUUCUAACGCUGAGGCAAGCCUUUGAUCUCUCUGUUCUUGUUCUUGUGCUAUAUAUGUGGAUAAAGUUUACAGGGCCCUGAAUUAAUAAAUAAUCAUAUUGCAUGGGAUGUGACUUGUGAGAAGAGCUAAAAUCAAAAAAAUGUAGACAGAGUUCUUUGUUGGUCAGAUAGAUUUUCUUAAUUCAAAUUGUCAUUUUGUUGUAUGAUAUUGAUCAAUGGGUUUCCUUAUGCAAAUAGAACAAAGAGGGUUGCUGUUUUAGAUCUCAGUGACAGGGAUGAACAUCCUUGCAAGUAAACUUUGCUUUCGUUUUCCAAAUUUCAGGGAACUCAAUUUUUGAUCACUGCCUCCUUGAAAGAUUGUUUGUGUUCGUACGAUUCUUACAUUCUUUCCUUUUUACUCGUUUCUUACAAACAAACAAACAAACAAAAAGGGUUGACCUUGUGCUUUCUGAUUCUUUAUUUUUAUUAUAUUUGACAGCUGGUUGUGUAUUUUCAAGGAUAUCUUCUUCUCCCGCUGGUUGCGCUUGUGGGACCUUUCUGUUGUUACCGUCCUUAUUUUAAUUUUCUGUGAGGAAAAUUCAAGGUGAGUAGAGAUAUACAAGAGAUAUACAAAGAAAAGCACCGGCCAGUCCACUUUUUUAUUGCUUGGAGUUUAACAUUUCUAGUCAACGUUCUGUGAGUGCGCAAAAACAAAAUAAAGAAUCAGAAAGGUCCUACAAGCACCAGCCAGCCUGUCCACUUUCUUGUUGCUAGUAGUUUAACAUGAUUCCCUGUCAACGUUCUGUGUUCAAUGUAUACGAGGCCUCAUAGGCUCAUACUAAUUUCUUACUCCACAUAGCUCCCUUUAAACUUCUGUAAUACUGAUCCUCUUUGCAUCACGCUAAUUAAUGGAUUCUUCUUUUUUUCUCACCACUCUUGCUGCUGCAAUAGGUCUCUUUACCGUUCUGAGAAAACUUAGAUUCCAUCAAGAAGAUAACAGAAAAAAAGAUCCUUCUUCUUCAUCUCCUUCAUCUUCUUUAUCUCCUUCAAUAGUUCCUCCACCUUCUUCUUCUCGCAUCUGGACACAUGAUGUCUUUCCUAGCUUCCGCGGGGAAGAUGUACGCAGAGAUUUUCUCAGUCAUAUUCAGAUGGAGUUCGAAAGAAAAGGAAUCACUCCAUUCAUUGAUAAUGAAAUCAAAAGAGGAGAAUCUAUCGGUCCCGAGCUCAUUAGGACGAUUAGAGGAUCUAAAAUCGCAAUUAUCUUGCUCUCCAGGAACUAUGCCUCCUCAAAAUGGUGUCUUGAUGAACUGGUGGAGAUUAUGAAGUGCAGAGAAGAGUUGGGUCAGACUGUCAUGGCUGUUUUCUACAAAGUGGAUCCUUCUGAUGUGAAAAAUCUAACCGGAGAUUUUGGGAAAGUCUUUAAAAAAACUUGUGCUGGUGAAGAAAGGGAAUGCAUUGAGAGAUGGAGACAAGCUUUGGCAAAAGUGGCCACAAUCGCUGGUUAUCAUUCAGACAACUGGGUUAAUGAAGCGGCCAUGAUCAAAAAAAUCGCCACUGAUAUUUCAGACGUGCUGAAUAAUUUCACACCAUCAAAUGAUUUUGACUCGUUAGUUGGGAUGGGAGCUCAUUUAGAGAAAUUGAAACCAUUGUUAUGCAUAGGCUCAGAUGAGGUGAGGAUGAUUGGGAUUUGGGGACCUCCUGGGAUUGGUAAGACCACAAUCGCUAGAGUCGCAUACAACCAACUGUCCAACAGUUUUCAACUGAGUGUCUAUAUGGAUGAUCUCAAAGCACACCCUACAAGACUGUGUUCCGAUGACUACAGCUUAAAGUUGCAACUACAACAACAGUUUAUGUCUCAAAUAACAAACCAUAAGGAUAUGGUUGUUUCUCAUUUGGGAGUUGUGUCAAAUAGGUUGAAGGACAAGAAAGUUCUUGUUGUUCUUGAUGGCGUGGACCGGUCAAUACAACUAGAUGCAAUGGCGAAAGAGACUUGGUGGUUUGGUCCCGGAAGUCGGAUUAUAAUCACAACACAAGAUCAGAAACUUCUUAGAGCACAUGGAAUUAACCAUAUUUACAAAGUGAAUUUUCCAACAAAUGAUGAGGCUCUCCAAAUCUUUUGUAUGCAUUCUUUUGGUCAAAAGUCCCCUAAAGAUGGUUUUGAGGAGCUUGCUCGGGAAGUUACACAACUUGCUGGUGAACUCCCUUUGGGGCUAAGGGUUAUUGGUUCCUACUUCCGGGGAAUGAGUAAGCAAGAGUGGAUAAAUGUGCUACCAAGAUUAAGGACUAGCCUUGACGCUGAUAUUCGAAGCAUUUUGAAGUUCAGCUAUGAUGCUUUAGAUGAUGAAGAUAAAGAUUUAUUUCUUCAUAUAGCCUGCUUCUUCAGCUAUGAAGAGAUUCACAAAGUGGAAGAAUAUCUUGCAAAGAAGUUCAUCGACGUGAGGCAAAGACUUAACGUCUUAGCUGAAAAAUCUCUCAUAUCUAUCGACUGGGGAGUUAUAAGGAUGCAUAGUUUGCUAGAAAAAUUAGGUAGAGAAAUUGUUUGCAAACAAUCUGUUCAUGAGCCUGGACAGCGCCAGUUUCUGUACGAAUUUAGAGAGAUCUGUGAAUUGCUGACUGGUGAUGCAACAGGUAGUAAAAGUGUCAUAGGGAUAAAGCUGGACUACUACAAAAUAGAGGAAGAAUUAGAUGUAAGUGAGAAAGCCUUUGAUGGAAUGUCAAAUCUCCAAUUCUUACAAGUCACCAAUGGUUAUCGUAAAACAUUGCAAUUAACUCGAGGUCUAAACUAUCUGUCUCAUAAACUUCGACUACUACACUGGAGCCAUUUUCCUAUGUCCUGUUUUCCUUGCAAUGUAAACUUGGAGUUCCUUGUUGAACUAAUCAUGAUUGGCAGCAAGCUUGAGAAGUUGUGGGAAGGAACUAAACCGCUUCGAAGUCUCAAGUGGAUGGAUUUGAGUGAUUCUGUAAACUUGAAAGAGCUUCCUGAUUUCUCAACUGCCACCAAACUUGAGAAAUUGUAUUUACGCAAUUGCUGGAGUCUAAUCAAACUCCCUCGCUUGCCUGGAAAUACUAUGGAGGAACUAGAUAUAGGUGGAUGCUCGAGUCUUGUGGAGUUUCCCUCCUUUACUGGGAAUGCCGUUAAUCUCCUCAAAUUGAAUCUUGUCAGUUUCCCAAAUUUGGUGGAGCUCCCUUCAUAUGUUGGGAAUGCCACCAACCUGCAGAAUUUAAAUCUUAGUAACUGCUCGCAUCUGGUGGAACUUCCUCUCUCGUUUGGAAACCUGCAUAAGCUUCAGACACUGAUAUUAAAAGGAUGCAAUAAGCUAGAGAAUUUUCCCAACAACACCACACUAGAAUUUUUGAAUGAUUUUGAUCUCGCUGGAUGUUCAAGUCUUGAUCUCGGUGGAUUCUCGAGUAUCGGAAAUGUUGUCAAUCUUCAGACAUUGAAUUUAAGUAGUCUACCACAAUUGUUGGAGGUGCCUUCUUUCAUUGGGAAUGCCACUAAUCUAGAGGACUUGAUACUUAGUAAUUGCUCAAAUCUGGUGGAACUUCCUCUUUUCAUUGGAAACCUUGAGAAGUUGAAAAGGCUGAGAUUAGAAGGUUGCAGUAAGCUAGAGGUUCUUCCCACCAACAUCAACUUGGAAUCUUUGUUUGAACUUAAUCUCAAUGAUUGCUCCAUGUUGAAACGUUUUCCUGAGAUCUCCACAAAUAUUAGAAAUCUCUACCUCAUAGGAACUGCAAUAGAACAAGUGCCUCCCUCGAUCAGGUCAUGGCCUCGUCUUGAUGAGUUGAAGAUGUCAUACUUUGAAAACCUCAAGGACUUCCCUCAUGCUCUUGAAAGAAUCACAUGCAUGUGCUUGACCGACACAGAGAUAGAAGAGGUUCCUCCCUGGGUCAAGAAAAUAUCUCGUCUGAGUGUAUUCGUGCUCAAGGGAUGCCGAAAGUUGGUAACACUCCCAGCCAUUUCGGAGUCCGUCCGUUACAUGGAUGCAAGUGACUGCAACUCUCUGGAGAUACUAGAGUGCUCCUUUCACAAUCAAUACCUUACGCUCAACUUCACCAACUGCUUCAAACUGAAUCAAGAAGCGAGAAACCUCAUCAUCCAGAAUAGUUGUAGAUAUGCAGUCUUACCAGGUGGACAAGUGCCUCCAUACUUCGCUCACCGAGCUACUGGUGGAGGUCCAUUGACAAUCAAGUUGAACGAAAAGCCUCUUCCAAAGUACAUGAUAUUUAAAGCUUGCAUCUUGCUGGUUAGUAAAGUUGACCAUGACGGUUCCCCUGAAGAGAACUCGAUGGAAGUGGAUAUCAUAUAUCAAAAUAGCAAUAAAAAGCUGUAUCCGGCUUUAGCAGAGCAUCUGUACAUAUUCCGAGUCGAAGCGGAGGUUACUUCCAGCGAGCUUCUCUUUGAGUUCAAGCUGGGAAGCAAUGAUGUUUGGGAGAUAGGAGAAUGUGGGCUAGUCCAAGACUUGGAGAUCCCUUGACGUUGAUGAACACGAUGAGAGCUUGAGAGGUGGUGGCCAUGAAACAUAUAAAGUAAAUGGCUCUCUGUUUUUAUUUGUAGUGUAUUCCUCUGUUUUCUUUUGGGGGAUGUGUUGUUUUUGUCACGGGAGGAGAUUGUUAUCAGCUGCAUCCACGAACACAAAUUGGUGUCGACUUCUACAGCAGCAGCCUCAACGAUUGAAACCACCAAAAACCCUCUGAAAGAGUUUUUCGAGAGAAGCCAAGAGGAACACAAACCUGUGUGUCUACGGUGUGUUUUCUUUCUCUUCUUCAUUGUGCCUUUACAUUCCAAAGGUGAGGGGAUCAUUGUGACGUAUAAAGCAUGUUGAUCGAAAGAGCAAUUACAGAACCAGAUCCAAGAAGACCAGCCGACAUGAAACGAAUGGCAAUACACUAAUAUUAAUAAGUAACACUUGUUUGUUUGUACUGGU